rnacentral:rRNA from 1 species
AACGAACGCUGGCGGCAGGCUUAACACAUGCAAGUCGAGCGCGUAGCAAUACGAGCGGCAGACGGGUGAGUAACGCGUGGGAAUCUACCGUACCCUACGGAAUAGCUCUGGGAAACUGGAAGUAAUACCGUAUACGCCCUAACGGGGAAAGAUUUAUCGGGGUAUGAUGAGCCCGCGUUGGAUUAGCUAGUUGGUGGGGUAAAGGCCUACCAAGGCGACGAUCCAUAGCUGGUCUGAGAGGAUGAUCAGCCACAUUGGGACUGAGACACGGCCCAAACUCCUACGGGAGGCAGCAGUGGGGAAUAUUGGACAAUGGGCGCAAGCCUGAUCCAGCCAUGCCGCGUGAAUGAUGAAGGUCUUAGGAUUGUAAAGCUCUUUCACCGAUGAAGAUAAUGACGGUAGUCGGAGAAGAAGCCCCGGCUAACUUCGUGCCAGCAGCCGCGGUAAAAC